AGUGAACGCUGGCGGUAGGCCUAACACAUGCAAGUCGAACGGCAGCACAGUAAGAGCUUGCUCUUACGGGUGGCGAGUGGCGGACGGGUGAGGAAUACAUCGGAAUCUACUUUUUCGUGGGGGAUAACGUAGGGAAACUUACGCUAAUACCGCAUACGACCUACGGGUGAAAGCAGGGGAUCUUCGGACCUUGCGCGAUUGAAUGAGCCGAUGUCGGAUUAGCUAGUUGGCGGGGUAAAGGCCCACCAAGGCGACGAUCCGUAGCUGGUCUGAGAGGAUGAUCAGCCACACUGGAACUGAGACACGGUCCAGACUCCUACGGGAGGCAGCAGUGGGGAAUAUUGGACAAUGGGCGCAAGCCUGAUCCAGCCAUACUGCGUGGGUGAAGAAGGCCUUCGGGUUGUAAAGCCCUUUUGUUGGAAAAGAAAAGCAGCAGGUUAAUACCCCGCUGUUCUGACGGUACCCAAAGAAUAAGCACCGGCUAACUUCGUG
rnacentral:rRNA from 1 species